GAUGAACGCUGGCGGCGUGCCUAAUACAUGCAAGUCGAGCGGACGGACGAUAAUCUUGCUUCUCUGAUGUUAGCGGCGGAUGGGUGAGUAACACGUGGAUAACCUACCUAUAAGACUGGGAUCACUUCGGGAAACCGUAGCUAAUACCAGAUAAUAUUUUGAACCGCAUGGUUCAAAAGUGAAAGACGGUCUUGCUGUCACUUCUAGAUGUAUCCGCGCUGCAUUAGCUAGUUGGUAAGGUAACGGCUUCCCAAGGCAACGAUGCAUAGCCGACCUGAGAGGGUGAUCGGCGACACUGGGAGUGGGAGGCGGUCCAGACUCCUACGGGAGGCAGCAGUAGGGAAGCUUGCGCAAUGGGCGGAAGCCUGACGGAGCAACGCCGCGUGGGUGAUGAGGGUCUUCGGAUCGUAAAACUCUGUUAUUAGGGAAGAACAUAUGUGUAAGUAACUGUGCACAUCUUGACGGUACCUAAUCAGAAAGCCACGGCUAACUACGUG
rnacentral:rRNA from 1 species